rnacentral:rRNA from 1 species
UACGAAGGGUGCAAGCGUUACUCGGAAUUACUGGGCGUAAAGCGUGCGUAGGUGGUUUGUUAAGUCUGAUGUGAAAGCCCUGGGCUCAACCUGGGAACGGCAUUGGAAACUGGCUUACUAGAGUGCGGUAGAGGGGUGUGGAAUUCCCGGUGUAGCAGUGAAAUGCGUAGAUAUCGGAAGGAACAUCAGUGGCGAAAGCGACUUCCUGGACCAGUACCGACGUUCAGGCACGAAAGCGUGGGGAGCAAACAGG